rnacentral:rRNA from 1 species
CAAUAGCGUAUAUUAAAGUUGUUGCAGUUAAAAAGCUCGUAGUUGGAUCUCGGGUCCAGGCUGGCGGUCCACCUCGCGGUGGUUACUGCCUGUCCUGACCUACCUCCCGGUUCUCUCUUGGUGCUCUUGACUGAGUGUCUCGAGUGGCCGGAACGUUUACUUUGAAAAAUUAGAGUGUUCAAAGCAGGCAAUUCGCCUGAAUAAUGGUGCAUGGAAUAAUGGAAUAGGACCUCGGUUCUAUUUUGUUGGUUUUCGGAACUCGAGGUAAUGAUUAAGAGGGACAGACGGGGACAUUCGUAUUACGGUGUUAGAGGUGAAAUUCUUGGAUCGCUGUAAGACGAACUACUGCGAAAGCAUUUGUCAAGAAUGUUUUCAUUAAUCAAGAACGAAAGUUAGAGGUUCGAAGAUGAUCAGAUACCAU